AUUUAGAUAAGUCUCAAGUAGAGUUUUUGUAUUUUGUUCAUAUAUAGAGCUUCUAUAUUUUGAUCACGAUAAAGAGAAUUGGAAAAAGAGUUCAUUGGUAGGUUGAAAAAAAAAGGAACUGUAUAAUUAUUAUUUUAACAAAGUAUCAACCAAAAGUUUUAUAUAAAUGGGACACUAUCACCUUGUCACUAUAUAAUAAAUUUGAGUACUAAUGGCUACCUAAAUAUUUUUAAGUGAAUCUGAUAUACACUCACUUUUACCCUACAACUAUUAAAAGCUUAUCUUAAGAGUUAUGUGCUAUUUCAAUCGAAUAAGUGGGAUUUUUUUACAGAAAGAAAGUUAAUCUGUAAAUAAGUUUUGAGUAUAUUUCUACCCAAUCAGAAAGUUAUAGCUGUAUAUAAAUAUUGACUAUUUAUAUAGUUGGAAAAUAGUAAAUAUUAACUUUUCAUUCUUAAUGCCAUUAGAUGACAAAUUUCCUAAGGACAUUUUUUGGGGACCAGUAAUACUUGAAUUAAUUCAUUUAUUUCCAGUAUGUCUACAUAUUCCUCAUUCAUUCUUUGAAGCAACAAAGUAACUCCUUUAAUUUUUUUUAUUUAAUUAUAAUAAAGCAUUUGAAGCUUUAAUAGUUUUGUUUAAUUAUAUUAUUUCAUGUCAAUAAACUUCAAAGUUAUUUUUAAAUGAGCUACUGAACUUUGCAAGGGGUACCAGGGACAUCGCGAGGAAUCCAAAGUAUGUGGACCUAAGUGUUGGAUGUAAGGGGAAGUCAAAGUAUCUUCAAUCAACCAGGAUAUUGGGAGUAAUUCAAAGUCUGAUGGAAUUACCUUCCCUUCAGAUUUUUAAAUGAAAAAGUGGAUAGCAUCCGAUAGAAAAGUAUAUUCGGCAACAAUGUUUAUCCUGUUCCAUUAGAACAUAUGGGGUUGGGAGUCGGGCAUGAAAUCAAGAUGGAGCUUCAUCCAAAGGCAACUACUUCACAAUAAAAAUAAUAAUUGGCAUGGGGUAUAUUGGUCAAAGGAACUUGGUCUACGCUCUCAACAAAACUAAAUCCCCCUUGGCUACUAUUUGUGGAGUGUCAAUGGGAAAAACACCACUCUACAAAUGGAUUAUCCCAAGUCAUUUGAUGAUGGAGUGUGUGUGAAUAAUUGAACAUAAUUUACAUAAAUAUUUAUUUUCAUUAUUAUAUGAACUGUCUUGUCUCCUCCUUUCUUAUAGUCUAUCUAUACGGAGAUAUGUAGGAAAAAUAAAACUUAGAGAAGAUAUGAGUAUCGUAUGAACAAUAUGUAUUUUGAAAGAUGAGGAGAAGGGGGAAAUAUGGAGAUCAAUAUUUGUACAGCUUAUAUCUCAGCUACAUUUGCCGACAACACUGUAAUUUUCUGGAUACAUGAAUUAGGGAUUCCCACAGGCGCCCGCUUUCGAGCCAAGUGCAUUUCAGCAUUUCAUACGUGCAACGAAAAUUAUUAAGCUAUGAAUAAUAAAAAUAAUGUAUCCAAUGCUUGAUCAGAAAAUUUAAUCAAAGAUUUGAAAACUUUUAUAGUGGGGAUGAUGUAUUAUAACAGAUUACGUACCCAUCUUCAUCCCUGCAGAAUAGUGCAUGGAAUGGCAAGUUCAUCCAUUCGUAAAAAAAAUGCAAAUAUUGCUCGACUGUAAAUAGAUUUGAUUAACUUGAAAUCAAAUGUUGAAUUGAAGAUCAUUCCCAAGUAAUCCUCUUCUACUGAAUAGUUCUGGAUUUGAUUGCCACCAGGAUUUGAGAAACAAAAACAAUUGAGCCUUUGUGAUUUUGUAAUGUUUGGAUCAUCUUGGUUGUGCGUUUCAAUUUUCUCUGAGAUGAAUGAAAUGAAAAAUUAACAUUGUCCCAAACAUGACCACUUAUAUUAGAUAGUGAGGAUUGUCACAACCAGUCUGGAUACAAGCUUUAAACUGAUAGCAAAGAAUUGACGAGCAAAAUACAGUAAUAAUAAAUAUAAAUAUUCAAACGUCAAUGAAUUUCAUCAUCUUUAUAUUACUUUCUAUGCAAUUAAAACUAUAGCUAAGGUUUCAUUGCUGUGGCCCACGAAAUAAUUUAUUCUUCUUAUUUUGAUUUAAUUUGUAUAUGUUGAGCGUACGGCCGUUUUAUAACAACAAACCAUAAGCAUAUGCGCAGGUAGGACGUUUUAUGUUGUUUUGGCGGCUAGCCAGAUGUGUUUAGCUUCGGUUUAAAAAAAUGGCAUCGAUCCACGCAGUGUUUAUUCCACAACCGUGGAAAAGGCAGGGUAUCCUGAUGCGAUCUUUAUCGGAAAAGACAAUAUUGAGAUAGAAAACUUCUUGCACGU
rnacentral:lncRNA from 1 species